GCCGGGCACGGUGAUGCACACCUGUAAUCCCAGUGACUUGGGAGGCUGAGGCAGAAGGAUUGUGAGUUCAAAGCCAGCCUCAGCAAUUUAGCAAGGUGCUAAGCAACUCCGUGAGAUUCUGUCUCUA
rnacentral:sRNA from 1 species